rnacentral:rRNA from 1 species
CCUUUGUACACACCGCCCGUCGCUACUACCGAUUGAAUGGCUCAGUGAGGCUUUGGGACCUACUAGAAGAGGUCGGCAACGACCACUUCCGGCGGGAAACUUAUCCAAACUCGGUCAUUUAGAGG